rnacentral:rRNA from 1 species
AUGGAUUGUAUCUCAUUCUGUCAAACAUGUGGUAGAGAGGAGACCAUCAAACAUGCCUUGUUCGACUGUACAUGGGCCAAAUUGUUCUGGCAGGAGUUGAAGAAUCUCACUUCAGUCAAGGUGCCGGAGCUUCACCCAGAUUUUUGGACUGUAGAUCUGAUUGAUAGCAGCAAAGUUUCUUCUGAAGAUGCGGCUGUUAUAUUAUGUGGUGGAUGGGUUGUAUGGUCUGAGCGGAAUGCUCGACACCAUAAACAGAGAGUAGGAUCCGUGUCUAAAUCUGUGAAGUGGACUGCUGAUAUUGCCUAUGAUCUUACACUAACAGGACAGGCUUCAGGGAAGCAACACCAUAAGGAGCGGCCAAGGUGGAAACCUCCAGCUUCUGGCAUUAUUAAGCUCAAUGUGGAUGCUAGCUUCUCGCCAAACAAUAAUGAGGGAGCUACAGGUGUGAUUGUUCGUGAUCAUUGUGGUGCCUUACUACGGGGCCAAGCCAUCUGGUAUGGUCAGACGGCCAAUGUUUUAAUUAUGGAGGCCCUUGCCGUACGUGAUGGUGUAAGACUCGCCUGUGAUAUUGGUCUAUCAAAGGUUAUCGUUGAGUCUGAUGCCCAGGAGGUUGUUAAGCUAUGGAGGGACAGAAACCAAAAUCGUUCUGUCAUAGCUCCGAUACUCCAGGAAAUAGAAGAGCUCAGCGGGAGUUUGCAGUCUUUCCAAUUAAAUUUUGUUGGUCGUGAGGCUAACGAAGGUGCACAUUUGUGUGCUAAGCAGGCAACAUCAACUAGGAGAAGAUGUCUUUAG